GUCCUUCCGGUUCACACUCUGCCACUCCGUGAUCCUCUUGGCUCCGGAGUGAAGAACCCUGCGUCUUUGUGCACGUGUCUGACAAAUUUACAUAUAUCUGCAUGUCAUUAACAUAGAGGCGGGGCCGGAACUUGUUUGGGCAACUAUCCCUGGACGGUUCUCUUUGCUUCUUCCUCAUCCCGUCUGAUAGGCAUGUGGGCUGCGCAUGCGUGAG
rnacentral:lncRNA from 1 species